ACUCCAAAUAGAUGAGAACUUCCGGCUUUUCUUGAACUCUGUUUUUGAAGCCGGGGGCUCGGAUCAGAGUGCCAAGUGGGCCAAUUUUGGUAAGCAGAACUGGCGCUGUGGGAUGAACCAAACGUCGAGUUAAGGCGCCCAAAUCGACGCUCAUGUGAAACCAUGAAAGGCGUUGGUUGCUUAAGACAGCAGGACGGUGGCCAUGGAAGUCGGAAUCCGCUAAGGAGUGUGUAACAACUCACCUGCCGAAGCAACUAGCCCUGAAAAUGGAUGGCGCUGUAGCGUCGUGCCUAUACUCGACCGUCAACGGCAAAGAUGGCUGGCGGGCAACCGUCGGCCGUUACGCCUUGACGAGUAGGAGGGCCGCGGCGGCGUGCGUAGAAGGGUCUGGGCGUGAGCCUGCCUGGAGCCGCCGUCGGUGCAGAUCUUGGUGGUAGUAGCAAAUACUCCAGCGAGGCCCUGGAGGACUGAUGUGGAGAAGGGUUUCUUGUGAACAGCUGUUGCACAAGAGUCAGUCGGUCCUAAGCCCUAGGAGAAAUCCGAAGCGAUGGGUUGCCGUUAAUGAUCAUUAUACCAUUAUGAAGGCACCCGUUUGGGCGAAAGGGAAUCCGGUUCCUAUUCCGGAACCUGGCAGUGGAACCGUUCCAAUUCGGGCCCUCUGAGGACUCGUCAGGGCAACCUGAAUAGACCCGGAGACGCCGACAGGAGGUUGGGGGAGAGUUGUCUCUUCUCUAUAAGCGAUCGAGUUCCCUGGAAACUUCUAGCAAGGAGAUAGGGUUUGGAUCGCGAAGAGCACUGCAGUUACGGCAGUGUCCCAAUCUUCCUCUCGGACCUUGAAAAUCCGGGUGAGGGCCACGAGGAACCCCACGCCAGACCGUACCCAUAUCCGCAGCAGGUCUCCAAGGUGCAAAGCCUCUAGUCGAUAGAAU
rnacentral:rRNA from 1 species